GAUGAACGCUGACAGAAUGCUUAACACAUGCAAGUCAACUUGAACUUCGGUUUGGGUGGCGGACGGGUGAGUAACGCGUAAAGAACUUGCCUCACAGAUAGGGACAACAUUUGGAAACGAAUGCUAAUACCUGAUAUUAUGAUUUUAGGUCAUCCUAGGAUUAUGAAAGCUAUAUGCGCUGUGAGAGAGCUUUGCGUCCCAUUAGCUAGUUGGAGAGGUAACGGCUCACCAAGGCGAUGAUGGGUAGCCGGCCUGAGAGGGUGAUCGGCCACAAGGGGACUGAGACACGGCCCUUACUCCUACGGGAGGCAGCAGUGGGGAAUAUUGGACAAUGGACCAAGAGUCUGAUACAGCAAUUCUGUGUGCAAGAUGAAGUUUUUCGGAAUGUAAAGUGCUUGCAGUUGGGAAGAAAAAAAUGACGGUACCAACAGAAGAAGUGACGGCUAAAUACGUG
rnacentral:rRNA from 1 species